rnacentral:rRNA from 1 species
UACGUAGGUGGCAAGCGUUGUCCGGAGUUAUUGGGCGUAAAGCGCGCGCAGGCGGUGCGGUAAGUCUCUGGUGAAAGCGCUCGGCUUAACUGGGCGAGGGCCGGGGAGACUGCCACGCUGGAGGGGAGCAGAGGCGAGUGGAAUUCCGGGUGUAGUGGUGAAAUGCGUAGAGAUCCGGAGGAACACCAGUGGCGAAGGCGGCUCGCUGGGCUCUACCUGACGCUGAGGCGCGAAAGCAUGGGGAGCGAACAGG